rnacentral:lncRNA from 1 species
AGAGAUUUAAUCAAGACUUACUUGAAACUUCAUUUGCUCAAUCUGGAUAUUGUGUAGGGGUGACGGAGAGUGUGCGAGCACCCCGGUGCCGCCUUAGGUAGGAGAAAAAACUGAACCCGAAUUUAAGUAUCAACAAUAGUGUCUCCCCACCUUACUCCCAUCUUACUGAUUCCUUCAGUCAUAAAUCUUCCCCAUUUCUUUCCUGCAAUACAUGAGACCCUGGAGGAUCCCAAGAAGAUGGACAGAGACCACACCUUCUUAUGAAUAUUCAGCAGCAAGGCUAGAAGGGAGGGUGAAAUAAAAACCCUUUGGAAGUCUCCCUAGUUCAGGCAGAGGACGGCUACCUCAUCCUGGGCUGGUUCCUAGACGACCAGACAGUGGACCUAAGUCUGGGUGAGCCUUAGGCAGCUGCACCCUUUGUAGCCCAUCUGAACUCCUGCCACCGUUGCAACAGCCACUCGGAUGAAACACUUGGGGACCGAGUGGUCAGGCAGGUCUCGCCUUUGUGAAACAGAGGAGGAAAACGCACGCCUGGAGAAGUUCGUGCCCAUCUUCCGCUGGUGACUUUCCCAACUCCCCGCUCUGCGCGCGAUGGUUCCGUGGACGCCCUGCUGACGGAGAAAUGCUGAGAAAGGCGACCUUUGGACAGACACUGCGCUGUUUCUUACACACUUAUCACCUGUUUGCCUCCGGGACAACCUGCUUGAACUUACUUCCCUGAGAACCCCAGGAAGGGGGCAGUUGGACGGGAAGCGACCGACCAAAGGUGCCAGUGACAUUUCUUCGGUUUCCAGUGUGAAUUACAGAAAACAGCAGCAGUUUCGUGAGUAGCCGCGAUUCUAUUGUCAGAUGACAGGUCAGUGAUGUGUGUGUUCUUGUCACGUCCUGGCCUUUACUGAGAUAUAGAGUAGUAUUGGCUCCCAUCAGUGUA